GNUAUGAGUUNGAUCCUGGCUCAGAUUGAACGCUGGCGGCAGGCCUAACACAUGCAAGUCGAACGGUAGCAGGAUGUGCUUGCNCAUCGCUGACGAGUGGCGGACGGGUGAGUAAUGCUUAGGGAUCNGCCUCUGUGUGGGGGAUAACUAUUGGAANCGAUAGCUAAUACCGCAUAAUGUUUACGGGCCAAAGGGGGCUUUUAGCUCCCGCGCAGAGAGGAACCUAAGUGAGAUUAGCUAGUUGGUGGGGUAAAGGCUAACCAAGGCGACGAUCUCUAGCUGUUCUGAGAGGAAGAUCAGCCACACUGGGACUGAGACACGGCCCAGACUCCUACGGGAGGCAGCAUGUGGGGAAUAUUGCACAAUGGGGGAAAUCCCUGAUGCAGCCAUGCCGCGUGUGUGAAGAAGGCCUUCGGGUUGUAAAGCACUUUCAGUUGUGAGGAAAGGUUGAUGG
rnacentral:rRNA from 1 species